GACGUAGGGCGCGAGCGUUGUCCGGAUUUAUUGGGCGUAAAGAGCUCGUAGGCGGUGUGUCGCGUCGGCCGUGAAAACCUGCAGCUUAACUGUGGGCUUGCGGUCGAUACGGGCAUCACUGGAGUUCGGCAGGGGAGACUGGAAUUCCUGGUGUAGCGGUGAAAUGUGUAGAGAUCGGGAGGAACACCGGUGGCGAAGGCGGGUCUCUGGGCAAUUCCUGACGCUGAGGCGCGAAAGCUAGGGGAGCAAACGGG
rnacentral:rRNA from 1 species